AAAGGGAGUUAUGACUGCUCUCAUACAAACACAGAGAUCAGAUACAGAACAGCAGCAGACUUACACAGGAUAAUGUGGAUGUCACGAAGAGUCACAAGUUGCUGUGUAGCUCUGUUCCUUAUCCUGACCUCUGUGUCAGCUGUGAGAAAGCUCAAUUCAAUCAAUGAUUUGAAGGAAAUCAACUUUGGCAAAUCUUUGCCCACGCACAGUCUCCUGCUGCUCCACUGGUUUGCCAACAUUGUUGAAAUUGACAGAAACAACGUCAUACAUUUCACCUUUGAUCCAAACAGAGAUUAUGGCUCGCAUCAUUAUGGCAACUAUGAGAGGCUGCUGGACCGACUACCUCCUGAACACCAGUACUACACUGUUGGCAAUCUCAAUGAAAACACUGCUGAGGAACUUCCAGAUUAUGUCGUGGAUCCCCCCGCAGGAUAUGCAGGAACAAACAUGGACCGGAUCAUCUUCAGAGUUAGGGAUCAGAACACAGGAUGGCAGAGAAUAGACCGAGUGUACCUCACACAGCAUUAUGAUCCAGCUCAUACGUACGAGAUCAGUAUUCACCUUUUAAGAGAAAUCAGAGAGUUUUCUGUAGGACAAAACCAGCGGUCACUGACGUAUCUAAGAGAUCGCUUUGAAAGAAACGCUGAUGACUUCCAAUUACAGGACAUCAGUAACACAUGCGGUCAACUUGCUUGCCUUGGACUGCUGCUGUUUAUUGUGCUCCAGGAAAAGUACUCCUCUAACCAAUUCAACAACAGACCUCAGCAUGCGGCAAGAAGAAACACAGACACUGUUGUCAACUUUUCAGAAAACACACAAAACGCCCACGAUUUUGCUGAUACUUCAGACAACGGCACAUGCUGUCCUUGUGAUAGUUAUUUAUUGAUUUUUUUGUUAGUUGUUAUUGGGAUUGUCAUUUAUUUAUCAAUGAGAAGAUGACAAGAAAAUGUUCCUAAGAUAUUGUCUAAACCAAAUUGUGAUGGAAAUGCUUUUCAAUGAUGAUGACCAGGAAACCAGCAGGACUUAAGAUGAGUGAGAAUCAGGCUGUUAUGACAGCUCAGUACACCUGGUUGAAGGCAACAAGUUGCUCUAUUAUCCUGUCGUAUGCUUUGUUCUGAAUCCAUGUUUAAUUAAUUGUGUAUUAUAUUAGCUUAUUUUGUAAACACUGUUCAGUUAUUAUUGACAUGUAGGCUUAUUAUGACAUGCCUGUGAUGAAUGAUACAAAUACUGAAAAAUCACUGUCAUGAAGGGCUGAGAGCCUUAAGGGUUUUGGUUCAGCCCAAUCAGUCAAAUUUAUUCCAGGGUGUUUUUGCACCUAUAACUUGUUUGCUCUGGUCUGAGGUCAAUUGAUAACUUUGUAAACUUGAGCAUUUUCCCCUUGGUUAAGUUUCUUUUUACAGAGACAGAAAUCCAAGUGAACCAAAAUGCACCGCUACAAACCAUGUGAAAACAUUCACUUUUCUUGUUGGUCAGAUGUUGUCUGAGGCAGGAGCAAGAUAUUAAAUACAGGAAGAAGGUCCUGUGUUUUGACUAGUGCAUAUUUCUGAGAGAAACAUUGCUAUGCUUCAUUCUGCAGUAAACUGUUACCAGGGGUGGGAGUAACGAAUUACAUUUACUCAUGUUUACUCAUCAGAUCUUCAAGUGCUUAAAGUGUGUGUGUAAAUAAACCGGAUUAUGUGAA